rnacentral:misc_RNA from 1 species
ACAUGUGGUGGGGGAAGAGCAUGGGCCUACAAUGGUGGUGCAUGGGGCAAGGAGAAAGUAUGUAGUAGUGGUAAUUUACCUCAUCCUUGGAAUAUGUGGAAGCUUGAUAGUGUUCAUGAGAUUUUAAAACGGGAUUACCAGCUUCGUCCUGUUGCUAUUGAGAUAUUUAGCAUGGAUGGGUGUAAUGAUCUUUUGGUGUUCCACAAAAAAGAGAGAGAAGAAGUGUUCAAAAAUCUGGUUGCCAUGAAUCUUCCAAGGAAUAGUAUGUUGGACACUACAAUUUCUGGUUCAACUAAACAAGAAAGUAACGAGGGAAGUCGUUUGUUUAAGUUGAUGGCUAAAUCCUUCUCAAAAAGGUGGCAAAAUGGAGAAAUUAGCAAUUUCCAAUACCUCAUGCAUCUUAACACAUUGGCUGGUCGUGGAUACAGUGAUCUCACCCAAUAUCCAGUGUUUCCAUGGGUUCUGGCAGAUUAUGAGAGUGAAACUCUGGAUUUGUCCAAUCCUAAAACAUUUCGUAAGCUUGAAAAACCAAUGGGAUGCCAGACACCAGAGGGGGAAGAGGAAUUUAAGAAAAGAUAUGAGAGCUGGGAUGAUCCAGAGGUUCCAAAAUUUCAUUACGGUUCUCAUUAUUCUAGUGCUGGAAUCGUCCUAUUCUAUCUUCUACGCCUGCCACCAUUUAGUGUGGAGAAUCAGAAGCUGCAGGGUGGGCAAUUUGAUCAUGCUGAUCGUCUUUUCAAUGGCAUUAGAGAAACUUGGUUAAGUGCAGCUGGGAAGGGUAACACAUCUGAUGUGAAGGAAUUGAUUCCAGAAUUCUUCUACAUGCCAGAAUUUCUUGUAAAUAGGUUUAAACUUGACUUGGGAGAGAAACAAUCAGGAGAGAAGGUUGGUGAUGUCUUCUUGCCUCCUUGGGCCAAAGGCAGUGCCAGAGAAUUUAUUAGGAAACAUAGGGCAGCCUUGGAAUCUGAUUAUGUUUCAGAAAAUCUGCAUCAUUGGAUAGACCUCAUAUUCGGAUAUAAACAGAGAGGGAAGGCAGCUGAAGAAGCCAUCAAUGUUUUCUAUCAUUACACAUAUGAGGGGAGUGUGGACAUAGACUCAGUUACUGAUCCUGCAAUGAAAGCCUCCAUUCUAGCACAAAUCAACCACUUUGGGCAGACACCCAAGCAACUGUUCCUCAAACCCCAUGUGAAAAGGCGGUCUGACAGAAGGCUUCCUCUUCAUCCUCUCAAGUAUUCUUCCCAUCUUGUCCCACAUGAAAUACGCAAGACCUCAUCAGCCAUAACUCAGAUUGUUACUUUCCAUGAGAAAAUUCUUGUGGCAGGGACAAACAGUUUACUUAAACCUAGAACGUAUACCAAAUAUGUGGCAUGGGGAUUUCCAGACCGGAGCUUGAGAUUUAUGAGCUAUGACCAGGACAAACUCCUUUCAACACAUGAAAAUCUUCAUGGGGGUAACCAGAUUCAGUGUACAGGUCUUAGCCAUGAUGGUCAAAUAUUGGUUACGGGCGCUGAUGAUGGGUUAAUUUCUGUUUGGAGAGUUGGCAAGGAUGGUCCCCGAGUUUUACAGCAUUUGCAAUUAGAGAAGGCGCUUUGUGGUCACACUGGAAAAAUCACAUGCCUUCAUGUUAGCCAGCCUUACAUGCUGAUAGUGAGUGGAUCUGAUGACUGCACUGUUAUCGUGUGGGAUCUCAGCUCCUUGGUUUUUGUUAGGCAGUUACCAGAGUUUCCAUUGCCAGUUUCAGCAAUAUACGUGAAUGACUUGACUGGGGAGAUUGUGACAGCUGCUGGAAUAAUGCUUGCUGUUUGGAGCAUCAAUGGGGAUUGCCUUGCAGUGAUUAACACAUCCCAAUUGCCAUCUGAUUCUAUUCUUUCAGUGACAAGCUGUACAUUUUCAGAUUGGAUGGACACAAACUGGUAUGUGACAGGUCACCAGAGUGGGGCUGUUAAGGUGUGGCAAAUGAUUCACUGCUCCACCCAAGAGAGUGCUCAAAGUAAAUCAAACAGCAAUCCAACGAUUGGGCUGAAUUUAGGUGAUAAUGUACCAGAGUACAGGUUGGUGCUUCACAAGGUGUUGAAGUUUCAUAAACAUCCUGUUACUGCCCUUUACCUCACGAGUGACCUGAAGCAGUUGUUGAGUGGGGAUUCUGGUGGGCAUUUGCUCUCUUGGACACUACCAGAUGAGAGCUUGAGGACUUCUUUUAAUCAUGGGUGAGAAAGGGAAAUAGCAGUUAAAGUGUGAUAAUUUAAGUUCUUUGAAAUCCUGUGGGAUUUGCCAGUUGAUUCUUGGAGAGGAAAGAUUGAAUAUGUUCAUGAUGCUUCAACAAGGCGACAGGGCUGGCCUGAGAUUGACGAAGUACAAGAAGUAAGGACGAGACAGACAAAAACUGCCUGAUAAAAAUUUUUAGGACAUUUUGAGAAGCAAUACCUCGACUCAUGUGCUUGGCCGCCCUAGCUUCUGUUGAGACGCCAAAAGCAGAAGGCAUACUUGUAUUUUUGGGUGCUUGGUGGAGGACAUUUUUUGGUUUUGCACGAGAGAACAUCCAUCAACUGGUUUUUUGAAUGUGCACAGAUGGAAUUACUAACAGUGUGUAUUGAAGUUGUAUAGAGGGAAACUGUGCCAGGAACAGAGCAUUGCUCCAAAUCAUCUGGCCAGUCGAACAAUGGACGGUUAUUUGGUCCAGUGUAUUCCCUUUGGGUAAAAUUCUUUUUGCAUAGUGCAGUUGGGCAGGCACUGCCCAUUCUUGUCAAAUGUACGCUUUCUUCUUUUGUUACUCAGAUAGCCCUUUAUUUCAAAGGAUAUUUUGAGUAACUAUUCAAACUUCUAUCUAUAUGCUCAGCUUUUAUGAUUAAAGGAUAUAGAUAGAAGUUUGAAUAGUUACUCA